rnacentral:rRNA from 1 species
GCGUUGUCCGGAAUUAUUGGGCGUAAAGGGCUCGUAGGCGGUUUGUCGCGUCGGGAGUGAAAACUCAGGGCUUAACCCUGAGCCUGCUUCCGAUACGGGCAGACUAGAGGUAUGCAGGGGAGAACGGAAUUCCUGGUGUAGCGGUGAAAUGCGCAGAUAUCAGGAGGAACACCGGUGGCGAAGGCGGUUCUCUGGGCAUUACCUGACGCUGAGGAGCGAAAGUGUGGGGAGCGAACAGG